ACAUUUAAAACCUUGAAGUUGCCCAGGAGUUCAGGCUCGAUAGUGUAUCUGAUAAACAUUUAAAACCUUGAAGUUGCCCAGGAGUUCAGGCUCGAUAGUGUAUCUGAUAAACAUUUAAAACCUUGAAUUUGCCCAGGAGUUCAGGCUCGAUAGUGUAUCUGAUAAAUGCUUAAAGAGUUUAAUCAAGCUCCCGCACGGACAGUCUCUUUUUGUUCUGAGGAGCUCAGAAAAUGAAAUGAAGUGACAAUACUUAGCCACACGCCUUAACUGAUGUCUUUAUCUCUUUCCUUCUGCUCUGGCAAAAGGUAGUAACUACAGAAUUAGUUAGAAAGAAAGUGAAAACUGAGAAGUGUGCUUUCCCGGCUAUUGUCAUGGAAAUAUGCGUCCUAACCAAAUGCUUGUGUAUAUCCAUCCCAUUAAGCACGUUUUAGUAGUGAGAGACAAAUUGGUUUGACACUAGUAGAGACACACAUCCUCUUCGCUAAGUGACAGACUCUGCAGCUUGAUCGAUGAAGGGAAAUGGCCAAUCCAAUUAGAUUUGGAUUGGUUUAACAUGAGCAUUAUUGAAUUAAAAGUCUUUCAGCUUUCCCAUUGAUCCUGCCAGAGCUUAGGCUGAGUAGGCACUGUACAUAUCUAGGCCACGCCCUCUUUACAGGACAAUACAUGUGGAUAAGAGCCCGGUGUAAAUUGUAGUAAUGGGUAAAAAAAGCUAUACAGUUUACAUAUCGCAAUAGUUUUGGGGGACAAUAUGGGACUCGUUUCAGGAAACUAGGCAUAUGUCGCAAGCCACUACUUCACAGAAGAGGCAUUAGAAUGUUUUAUUUUUUUUAUCAAAAUGAUUUUUUUUGGGCAGAAUGCCUUCUGGACCACGUGAACCUUCAUGUGCCUUAAUAAGAAACUUGCAUGCCAUCUGUAAAUAGGAAUUAAAAAAAGAAUAAUCACAAGCCUAGAUGUUUUUAGCCACAGAAAAAGGAGGGAACCUUCCCGCUAGACAUGAUUGGCUGAGAUAAUGAAUGGGCUGGACAAGCGAUGAGAUGAUUUUGGAUUGAUCGACCAUGUAGCACAUUCUGUCUAUAACAUAGCCUGCUCGCUAUGUGUAGAUACUCCUUUCUACUGCAUUUUUUUUUAAAGAUAUUAUCGAGGUGUUUCUCCGGAUUACAUAUUCAAACUAAGGGCAAAAAUGGAAUCCGUGACAGAGGGAAAAAGAUCUGAUGAAUCUUAUGGCAUUGCACACGGUCAGUGUGAACCAGAGCGAUUUGACACAACGGGCCAAGCAAGCUGUACAAAUGAAACGGAAACGACACAGGACGUCCAAUUUAAUGAAAUGGGUUGCAGUCUGCCGUGAACCGUUCAUCUAUGAAUACGGGUAAGAGUCCAGCUACAUUUUCAGAUAUUAUACAUUUCAGGAAUUUAGUCAGGAAGUCGUUUUCAUUGCAAGUUAAAGCCAGCUAGCUAACAUUAGUUGGCUGACUCACUAGCUAACAUUACGUUUAUGAUCUGUGUAUUAAUAUUAUCUCAUGAAGCCAUUUGCAUUGCUACUUAUAGCCUAAUGUUAGAUGGCUAACUUACUUUGAACCUAGUUCGUUAGCUUUAACUAGCUAUGACAAUCGGUUUGUAUUGCUUGUACUCUAUGGGUUGGGGUUAUGGGUCAUUGUUUAGCUACCUACAUGUUUAAACAAGACUCCACUUCGGCAGAUGAUUACAUGACUAAUCAAGUUAGUCAGGUGUGUUUGGCGGUGAUUACGGCUAUCUAUUGUAUAAUAAUGCUAAGAUAUUUGUAUCUGGAAUUUGUCUUUCAGCAUCUGUAGAACACGCCAGACUCUCUUCCACCAGUCAUACAAGGAGAAUGGUCUAAUGCCUCAUCAAAAAGAGAGCUGGUCCAAGCAAGCGCAGGUUACACCUGAAGCAUGAGGACUUGCAGCGAGUUGUGAACAACAACUAUGCCGAGGAUAAUGCAAUAGUAUUGCCACGAUGCCACCCAGGACACAAACACUUUGGUGGAAAGCUGCUGCCAUCCCAUGUGACAGAAGCAGCAGUGUGGUGUCUCUACAAGGAAUCGAUGACAACACUUGAGGUACGUGUAUUCGGGCUUUCUUCCUUCAGGAAUCUGUGGAGAGAUUGCUGGUGUGGUGAAGGACAGCACUGUGACGGGACAACAUCCCACUGUUGGUUGGACUGGAGCUUUGAUGCUCUGGAGCCUGGUGUUGUUGUCGCCAAAGGAGCAGCGACCCAGUCGGGACCAGGUUUCAGCUGCUGCGCAAUGCUGAUGUCCUUUCUCCCAUAGAUGGUCUGCCUGUACAAGCACCACCUGGACACAACUAGACAAAGAUAUAUUUUUGAGAAGAUUAGGGAAUUUUGCGACAAGGAGGCCAUGGACAUCAAAUGUCCUGCACCAAAGUAAAGGGCAGGACAGAAACAGGCUCUCCAAAUAUAGAUGCCCUUGUUCAUGCGUGGUGCUGAUGGACCAGUUCAUCACUGGAGGCCGAGUUCCCAUUCAUCCGGACUCUCUCUAGUAGCAGCACAUUCACAUCACUCUCCCCCUAACACACAAACACGCAUACCAUACGUUGCUGCUACAUUUUGUUUUUAUCACGCUGCUCAGCCACUUUACCCCUUAUUGUAUGCAUAUAACUUCAUUGUCUAUCAAAAGUAUCACUGAUAUCGUUAUUGACAUUGUUCGUGUACAUACUGUAUAUUUUGUUCUUUCUCUUACUGGCACUUUGACACUUUUGUUUAUUUAUUGUUUAUAUUGACACUUUCUAUUUUUGAUAUUGCUACUAUGCAAGUAACCAUUUCACUGUAUCAUGUACACCUUCUGUACACUUAACAAGAUGUGACUGGCAUUUAUAGCAUUUCAUUCACAGGACCCAUCAAUUUAGACAUUUGUCUGCGGUAAGCAUCAUCUAAUAUUUAUAAAAUAUAUUUUCUGGACACCUUUUUUUUUAUAUUGCUACUUUACAAAUAUGCAUGUAACCAUUUCACUGUACCGUUUACACCUUCUGUAUGUGACAAAUAAAUGUUGAUUUUGUUUGA